AGAGUUUGAUCCUGGCUCAGAGUGAACGCUGGCGGUAGGCCUAACACAUGCAAGUCGAACGGCAGCACAGGAGAGCUUGCUCUCUGGGUGGCGAGUGGCGGACGGGUGAGGAAUACAUCGGAAUCUACUCUGUCGUGGGGGAUAACGUAGGGAAACUUACGCUAAUACCGCAUACGACCUACGGGUGAAAGCAGGGGACCUUCGGGCCUUGCGCGAUUGAAUGAGCCGAUGUCGGAUUAGCUAGUUGGCGGGGUAAAGGCCCACCAAGGCGACGAUCCGUAGCUGGUCUGAGAGGAUGAUCAGCCACACUGGAACUGAGACACGGUCCAGACUCCUACGGGAGGCAGCAGUGGGGAAUAUUGGACAAUGGGCGCAAGCCUGAUCCAGCCAUACCGCGUGGGUGAAGAAGGCCUUCGGGUUGUAAAGCCCUUUUGUUGGGAAAGAAAUCCAGCUGGCUAAUACCCGGUUGGGAUGACGGUACCCAAAGAAUAAGCACCGGCUAACUUCGUGCCAGCAGCCGCGGUAAUACGAAGGGUGCAAGCGUUACUCGGAAUUACUGG
rnacentral:rRNA from 1 species